rnacentral:rRNA from 1 species
AUUGAACGCUGGCGGCAUGCCUUACACAUGCAAGUCGAACGGCAGCGGACCUUCGGGUGCCGGCGAGUGGCGAACGGGUGAGCAAUAUAUUGGAACGUACCUUUCAGUGGGGGAUAACGUAGCGAAAGUUACGCUAAUACCGCAUAUUCUGUGAGCAGGAAAGCAGGGGAUCGCAAGACCUUGCGCUGAUUGAGCGGCCGAUAUCAGAUUAGCUAGUUGGUGAGGUAAAGGCUCACCAAGGCGACGAUCUGUAGCGGGUCUGAGAGGAUGAUCCGCCACACUGGAACUGAGACACGGUCCAGACUCCUACGGAGGCAGCAGUGGGGAAUUUUGGACAAUGGGCGCAAGCCUGAUCCAGCCAUGCCGCGUGAGUGAAGAAGGCCUCGGUUGUUAAG